rnacentral:rRNA from 1 species
ACUAGACACAGCUCAAAACAAACCACACAAAACCACCCAAACAAACAAAAACAAAGCAUUUACAAAAUUAAAGUAUAGGAGAUAGAAAUUAUAUUUGACGCCAUAGAGAUAGUACCGCAAGGGAACUGAUGAAAGAGAACUAUAAGUAAAAAAUAGCAAAGCUUAACUCUUGUACCUUUUGCAUAAUGAUUCAACUAGAAAGCCUUAGCAAAAAGAAUUUAAGUUAAAAACCCCGAAACCAGACGAGCUACCUAAUAGCAACUUUAAGGGUGAACUCAUCUAUGUGGCAAAAUAGUGAGACGACUUUUAGGUAGAGGCGAAAAACCUAUCGAGCCUGGUGAUAGCUGGUUGUCCAGAAAAGAAUCUUAGUUCUAACCCGAAUCUGCCUAAAAUAAAAACAAAUAAAAUGCAGGCUUGGAUUAUAGUCUAAAAGGGUACAGCCUUUUAGACACGGGAUACAACCCCCAUUAGAGAGCAAGAAUAAACAAACCACCAUAGUUGGCCUAAGAGCAGCCACCAAAUAAGACAGCGUUAAAGCUCAACAGCACCCACAACCCAAUUCCAACUAAUAACAACAAACCUCCUAACACACAAACUGGACCACUCUAUUGCACAAUAGAAGAGACAAUGUUGAUAUGAGUAACAAGAAAUAUUUCUCCCCGCACAUGUGUAUAUCCGAACGAAUAAGUCACUGAUAGUUAACAAAACGAACAUACACAACUACUAGCCCACCUAUCAAUUGUUAGCCCAACACAGGAGUGCUACCAGGGAAAGAUUAAAAAAAGUAAAAGGAACUAGGCAAAUAUAAACCCCGCCUGUUUACCAAAAACAUCACCUCUAGCAUAAAAAGUAUUAGAGGCACUGCCUGCCCGGUGACCUUAGUUUAACGGCCGCGGUAUCCUGACCGUGCAAAGGUAGCAUAAUCACUUGUUCUCUAAAUAGGGACUUGUAUGAAUGGCCCCACGAGGGUUUGACUGUCUCUUACUUUUAAUCAGUGAAAUUGACAUUCUCGUGAAGAGGCGAGAAUAAUACAAUUAGACGAGAAGACCCUAUGGAGCUUUAAUUAACCGACCCAUAAAAUGCAUCAACCACCCACAGGGCAUAACCCCCUUUUUACUGAGUCGGUAAUUUAGGUUGGGGUGACCUCGGAGUACAAAUAAACCUCCGAGAAAAACAAUCUAGACACACAAGUCAAAAUCAACAUAACACACUGAUCCGCUACAGCGAUCAACGAAAUAAGUUACCCUAGGGAUAACAGCGCAAUCCUAUUUAAGAGUCCAUAUCGACAAUUAGGGUUUACGACCUCGAUGUUGGAUCAGGACAUCCCAAUGGUGCAGCAGCUAUUAAUGUGUUCGUUUGUUCAACGAUUAAAGUCCUACGUGAUCUGAGUUCAGACCGGAGUAAUCCAGGUCGGUUUCUAUCUAUUCUAAAGUCCCUCCCAGUACGAAAGGACAAGAGAGACAGGGCCCACUUAAAUUAAGCGCCCUAAAACAACAGAUGAAUUCAUCUUAAUCACACUAUAUACAAAAACCCCCAAGAACAGGGGCUCG